rnacentral:lncRNA from 1 species
AGAUAACGGUGGUGCAUUGCCCAAGGUGGCAAUGGCCCGCCCGGCUUGCGCAGGCCUACUGUGCACAGGCUUGCUGCGUGAACAGCGUGCGCACAGUGUGUGGCGCCUGUCCACGCGUGAGGUGAUGCGCGGACAGCCCACCUGCGCACGUUAGACACGUGCAGGGUUGACCCCACACCGAGCACGCGGAUAGGUCGUGCACAUAUGCGCACGUGCGCAGGCUCCCGCGCGAGCAGCUCCCCUUUCC